rnacentral:tRNA from 2 species
GCGUCCGUAGCUCAGCUGGAUAGAGUACCUGGCUACGAACCAGGCGGUCAGAGGUUCGAAUUCUCUCGGACGCGCCA